UGAACGCUGGCGGCAGGCCUAACACAUGCAAGUCGAGCGGAUGAAAGGAGCUUGCUCCUGGAUUCAGCGGCGGACGGGUGAGUAAUGCCUAGGAAUCUGCCUGGUAGUGGGGGACAACGUUUCGAAAGGAACGCUAAUACCGCAUACGUCCUACGGGAGAAAGCAGGGGACCUUCGGGCCUUGCGCUAUCAGAUGAGCCUAGGUCGGAUUAGCUAGUUGGUGAGGUAAUGGCUCACCAAGGCGACGAUCCGUAACUGGUCUGAGAGGAUGAUCAGUCACACUGGAACUGAGACACGGUCCAGACUCCUACGGGAGGCAGCAGUGGGGAAUAUUGGACAAUGGGCGAAAGCCUGAUCCAGCCAUGCCGCGUGUGUGAAGAAGGUCUUCGGAUUGUAAAGCACUUUAAGUUGGGAGGAAGGGUUGUAGAUUAAUACUCUGCAAUUUUGACGUUACCGACAGAAUAAGCACCGGCUAACUCUGCG
rnacentral:rRNA from 1 species